AGUCGGAGAUUACAGAUUGGUCCAUCCUUCUUCCCAGUAAUCUUGGCCCUAAUCUUUUCCCCAAGCAACCUGCAAUUAAUUGGAAACAAACACUAAGACAACAUAUGCAGUAAUCAACAGGUUUUCUGGAAAAAUAAUAAUGUAUGAUCAGUAUAAUUAAUUAAUUGGUUCAUGUGGGUAGGUGUGAUAAAAAAAAAUCAAAGAAAAUGUGUGGUAUUAUUAUUAUUAUUAUUAUUAUUGACCAAUAUUGUAUGGUUUGUCGGUUAGGACAUUACUGUCAAUGUCAACCACAAUCACAAGCCUUUUUAAUUUCCUCUUGAAGAUAAUUUAACCAACGUAAC
rnacentral:lncRNA from 1 species